UGCGUAGGCGGCAUGUCAAGCCAGAGGUGAAAGGCAUUGGCUCAACCAAAUGUAAGCCUUUGGAACUGACGCGCUUGAGUACAGGAGAGGUAAGUGGAAUUCCUAGUGUAGAGGUGAAAUUCGUAGAUAUUAGGAGGAACACCAGUGGCGAAGGCGACUUACUGGACUGUAACUGACGCUGAGGCACGAAAGCGUGGGUAGCGAACA
rnacentral:rRNA from 1 species